AACCGCCGUAGACGGAACCGCACGUACGGUGGUGUGAGGGGAUAUGAGGCUAGGCGCCUCCCCCUAUCUCAAU
rnacentral:misc_RNA from 1 species